rnacentral:rRNA from 1 species
GACGAACGCUGGCGGCGUGCUUAAUACAUGCAAGUCGAACGGUUAUGCCCCUUCCUUUUCUGUGGCUGAGGUUGAGUGGCGAGCGGGUGACUAAUACGUAAGUAAUCUGUCCCCUACUCCUGAGUGGCCGAUUGCACGUGUGGCCAAGUCGUAAUAUCCUGUAUCAGUUUCUGCCUCGUUCCGGGAAAGAUAUUGUUUCGGUGGGGGAUGGGUUCGGGGACUAGCAGCUUGUUGGUGGGGUGUUGGCCUGCCAAGGCGAUGACGGGUCGCCGGCAUGAGAGGGUGGACGGCAACACUGGGACUGAGCCACGGAGCAGACUCCGACGGGAGGCAGCAGUGGGGAAUAUGGCACAAUGGGCGCAAGCCUGAUGCAGCGACGCCGCGUGAGGGAUGGAGGCCGUCGGGUUGUGAACCUCUUUCGCCAGUGAAGCAGGCCUGCCUCGUUUGUGGGUGGGUUGACAGUAGCUGGAUAAGAAGCGCCGGCUAACUACGUG